GACGAACGCUGGCGGCGUGCUUAACACAUGCAAGUCGAACGCUGAAGGCCUGGCUUUUGUUGGGUUGGAUGAGUGGCGAACGGGUGAGUAACACGUGAGUAACCUGCCCUCUUCUUUGGGAUAACGCCCGGAAACGGGUGCUAAUACUGGAUAUUCACUGAUCUUCGCAUGGGGGUUGGUGGAAAGGUUUGUUCUGGUGGGGGAUGGGCUCGCGGCCUAUCAGCUUGUUGGUGGGGUGAUGGCCUACCAAGGCUUUGACGGGUAGCCGGCCUGAGAGGGUGACCGGUAACAUUGGGACUGAGAUACGGCCCAGACUCCUACGGGAGGCAGCAGUGGGGAAUAUUGCACAAUGGGCGAAAGCCUGAUGCAGCGACGCCGCGUGAGGGAUGGAGGCCUUCGGGUUGUAAACCUCUUUCGCUCGUGGUCAAGCCGCAACUGUGGGUUGUGGUGAGGGUAGUGGGUAAAGAAGCGCCGGCUAACUACGUG
rnacentral:rRNA from 1 species